rnacentral:rRNA from 1 species
UACGUAGGGUGCAAGCGUUAAUCGGAAUUACUGGGCGUAAAGCGUGCGCAGGCGGUUUUGUAAGACAGAUGUGAAAUGCCCCGGGCUUAACCUGGGAACUGCAUUUGUGACUGCAUGGCUAGAGUUUGGCAGAGGGGGGUAGAAUUCCACGUGUAGCAGUGAAAUGCGUAGAUAUGUGGAGGAACACCGAUGGCGAAGGCAGCCCCCCUGGGUCAAGACUGACGCUCAUGCACGAAAGCGUGGGGAGCAAACAGGAUU